rnacentral:rRNA from 1 species
UACGUAGGGUGCAAGCGUUGUCCGGAAUCAUUGGCGUAAAGCGCGCGUAGGUGGCCAUUUAAGUCCGCUGUGAAAGUCAAAGGCUCAACCUUUGAAAGCCGGUGGAUACUGGAUGGCUAGAGUACGGAAGAGGCGAGUGGAAUUCCCGGUGUAGCGGUGAAAUGCGCAGAUAAUCGGGAGGAACACCAAGGCGAAGGCAGCU